ensembl:lncRNA LOC102552779 uncharacterized LOC102552779
UCCUGAGUGACUCCCUGAGUCCUGUCACAAAAGGUGACUGUAGAAUGCUUGUCCCAUCACUCACCACUGAGAUCUGCGUCACCUGGGGAGAAACACACACCAAGCCUCUGAACCAAGGUCGGGCGGUCCAUGGUUGCCAGAAGUGGGGGAACAAAGGCUCCAAGGGGGAGCAAAGGAUCUGACAAACAGGGAAGACAGGCCUGCCUAUUCACGGGGGACGACGACAUUCUCCUCCAGGAGACCUCCAAACAGCCAAACUUGGGGAAAGCAGAGAAGAGAGACUCUAACCAAAGAGAGACAGAAAAUCCCUUGAAAAGGACCAGUGUGCAUAUUGCAAGGAGAGGGGCCACUGGGGCUGAGAGUUUCCCAACAAAUGGAAGCCAGGGGCAGGAAAUCUUAGGCCUUGGAAAAAGCACCUCAUUGGGAGCGAUGCCCUUGAAGCCCUCCAUUAUUGAUGUUAUUAUUAUGGUAUCUUCAGCACCCGUCCUGGACAAAUGACACCAACGUGGGGCAUAAGAGGAGUUUCAAGUUCUCAGGAGAAGCAGGGACAGGACAUUCUUGAAAAUCCACAGAAUGUACUGACUGAUAGUCACCUGACCCUCUGGUCCCAGAUAGAGUUCGAAUGCAUGUCAUUGUCACGCCCACCUCGGCCGGCAAGGAAGACGCAACACAGUCGGAUUCUUCUCAACAGCCUUUAUUGCAGGACCACCUCUUUGCUGAUAUGGGGACCUUGAGCGGCAAAAACGCUCGCCUUAUAUACACAACAGGCUGUGGCUAUGCUAAUUGUCCUUCAGGGAUUGGCGGAGCACGAAUCACCCCACUAUCACCCCUGCUAUUUGUCCUCCAGGGAUUGGCGGAGAACGAAUCACCUCACUAGAAUGGUACCGUCCCGGCCAACUGACUCCAGGUGCAAAACCCGUGCAUGCGCAGUACCAUUGUUCACCACAGGAGGGCGCCCUACAUGUCAUGCUUGCUAGCCAAUAGAUUCAAAGGUCAAUAUGCUUAGCCAAUAAGUUUAAACUGUAACCUUGACCUGUACCCCUAAAAAAGUAUAAAAACUGCUUGUUAUAGCCAUUCGAGGUCACCUUCCAGUCACUCAGCCCCACGAGGAGCCUAAUUGAAGUCGACCCUGACGCGCUGGAAAAUAAACCUCUUGCAUUUGCAUCUAACUCUGUUCUUGUGUCUCACUUGGGGGGUCUCCCAGUACUUAAAACUCGAGCCUUACAAACAAAGAGUGAUUUAUUCUGCAGAAGCCCAGCAUGCUGGGGGUGGGGCGUCUCCCAUUACCAAGAUAGAGAGACCUCUAUGUGAGUUCACAAUUGAAAGCACAUUAGGGGAGUUCCAGGGUAGGUGGGCUCUUUCUUUAUCUCUAGUCAAGUGCAGUAGUGAGAAGGGGAAAGUAUAGAUCAGGACUUCAAUCUGUAACGGUGAACAAUCCAUUGAGAUAACGCACUACCUUUAGACCAGCCUGUCUGAUUCCUCAGCAGGAUGAGACAUCCCUGUGACUUGUUAUCUCUCACAAACAACAGCUUUCGAUUCACGGCUUCUGGCAAAUGUUUGGGAGAGGAAGGGCUCGGUUUUAUUUAAGGGGCAGGCCACUGAGAGUUUGACCGUGCUCUCCAGUGACUACAUCG